rnacentral:rRNA from 1 species
UACAGAGGUCCCGAGCGUUGUUCGGAUUCACUGGGCGUAAAGGGUGCGUAGGUGGUGGGGUAAGUCUGAUGUGAAAUCUUCGAGCUUAACUCGGAAAUGGCAUUGGAUACUACUCUGCUAGAGGUUUGGAGGGGGGACUGGAAUUCUCGGUGUAGCAGUGAAAUGCGUAGAUAUCGAGAGGAACACCAGUGGCGAAGGCGAGUCCCUGGACAACACCUGACACUGAGGCACGAAAGCUAGGGGAGCAAACAGG